AAAACUGAGAUAUGCUGCUAUAAUUUUUUUCAUAUCCUUUUCGCAAUUUGAAGUGGGUGGAGACUGGAGAAGACAAUGGUAUCGUUUUGAUUCUUCUUUCUAGCCAAAUUAAAAUUAAAAAUAAAAGAAAGAAAUAAAAAUAAAAUAAAAAACAAAAAGUCCAUUUCGUCCUUUAAGACAGGACACUGAAAAGCCUGCGUCGCCACGUCAGCGUCUCCUUUUCUCUAGUAAUUUAAUAGUGUGCCAGCUAGGACCCCCCCCAAGUAUUCUCUUUGACCAAUCACUUUUCUAAGAUUUCGCAAUAACACAUUAUUAAUUAUUUCACAACUAUAUAACUUUUUUUUUUUACUUUUGGUUUCUAGUUUUUUUUUUUUUUUAAACUUUUUAAGUCAACUGAUAUUAUCAAAAUAAAAGCUGAAAAUAUGUUAUUUUUAGAAUAUUUUCUGGCUAUCAAAAAUAGUCAAAAAGAAAAUUAAGAAAACAGUCAUGCAAUUUUAAUAAAGAUUUUUAAGUAUUUUUUUAUUUGGAAA
rnacentral:lncRNA from 1 species